CGAAGCAGAGAAGAGGGGCUCCCGGUGAAAAUGGACAUCCCGGAACAACUAACCCUCCCCACCGGACGGUCCCUGCAGCAUAGAUGGCCCGGACCAGCUCACUCUUCCUUCCCACCGAGGGGAGGAAGGAACUGUGAAAAUCCAGCCUUUUUGGGGAGAGGAGGUGGGAGAGGAGCUCAUCAUACUCCAGGGGAAACACUUCAGCCUCCCAGAGAAAUUCAGAAAACACUCUUUACUCUUUCCAAAAGCAAUUAGAAUGCGUCACAUUGCCGCUAAGCCAAUCACUGGCCACAGAGGUGUCCUGCCUCAGCCUGUAAUUAGAUGAGUGUCGAUGUGACAUAUCAGGCUCCGGAACCAAGAAGUGGAGCAUGGCAUAGACUGAGAGCAACAAUACCAGAGGAUAUGGGGA